rnacentral:rRNA from 1 species
UACGUAGGGUGCAAGCGUUAAUCGGAAUUACUGGGCGUAAAGCGUGCGCAGGCGGUCUGUUAAGACAGAUGUGAAAUCCCCGGGCUUAACCUGGGAACUGCAUUUGUGACUGGCAGGCUAGAGUAUGGCAGAGGGGGGUAGAAUUCCACGUGUAGCAGUGAAAUGCGUAGAGAUGUGGAGGAAUACCGAUGGCGAAGGCAGCCCCCUGGGCCAAUACUGACGCUCAUGCA